rnacentral:rRNA from 1 species
AGAACGAACGCUGGCGGCAGGCCUAAUACAUGCAAGUCGAACGCUCCAGCAAUGGAGAGUGGCAGACGGGUGAGUAACACGUGGGAACGUGCCCAAAGGUACGGAACAACUCCGGGAAACUGGAGCUAAUACCGUAUGUGCCCGAAAGGGGAAAGAUUUAUCGCCUUUGGAUCGGCCCGCGUCUGAUUAGCUAGUUGGUGAGGUAAUGGCUCACCAAGGCGACGAUCAGUAGCUGGUCUGAGAGGAUGAUCAGCCACACUGGGACUGAGACACGGCCCAGACUCCUACGGGAGGCAGCAGUGGGGAAUAUUGGACAAUGGGCGCAAGCCUGAUCCAGCCAUGCCGCGUGAGUGAUGAAGGCCCUAGGGUUGUAAAGCUCUUUCGGCGGGACGAUAAUGACGGUACCGCAGAGAGCCCGGCUAACUCGUGCCAGCAGCCGC